CCUACGGGUGGCUGCAGUGAGGAAUAUUGGUCAAUGGCCGAGAGGCUGAACCAGCCAAGUCGCGUGAGGGAAGACGGCCCUACGGGUUGUAAACCUCUUUUGUCGGGGAGCAAAGCGAACCACGUGUGGUUCAUUGAGAGUACCCGAAGAAAAAGCAUCGGCUAACUCCGUGCCAGCAGCCGCGGUAAUACGUAGGGGGCAAGCGUUAUCCGGAUUUACUGGGUGUAAAGGGAGCGUAGACGGCGCUGCAAGUCCGGAGUGAAAGCCCAUGGCUUAACCAUGGUACUGCACUGGAAACUGUAGAGCUUGAGUGCGGGAGGGGCAGGCGGAAUUCCUAGUGUAGCGGUGAAAUGCGUAGAUAUUAGGAGGAACACCGGCGGCGAAGGCGGCCUGCUGGACCGUAACUGACGUUGAGGCUCGAAAGCGUGGGGAGCAAACAGGAUUAGAUACCCCAGUAGUC
rnacentral:rRNA from 1 species